rnacentral:rRNA from 1 species
GGCGAACGGGUGAGUAACACGUAGGUAACCUGCCCUUAAGACGAGGAUAACCGUUGGAAACGAUGGCUAAGACUGGAUAGGAUGAUUGAAGGCAUCUUCGAUCAUUUAAAAGACCUAGCAAUAGGUAUGCUUAAGGAGGGGCCUGCGGCGCAUUAGUUAGUUGGUGAGGUGAUGGCUUACCAAGACGAUGAUGCGUAGCCGGACUGAGAGGUUGAACGGCCACAUUGGGACUGAGAAACGGCCCAAACUCCUACGGGAGGCAGCAGUAGGGAAUUUUCGGCAAUGGGGGAAACCCUGACCGAGCAACGCCGCGUGAAUGACGAAGUACUUCGGUAUGUAAAGUUCUUUUAUCAGGGAAGAAUGGCUAGCGGAAAAGCUAGAUUGACGGUACCUGAUGAAUAAGCCCCGGCUAACUAUGUGCCAGCAGCCGCGGUAAUACAUAGGGGGCAAGCGUUAUCCGGAAUUAUUGGGCGUAAAGGGUGCGUAGGUGGUUAAUUAAGUCUUUGGUAUAAGUGCAGUGCUUAACGCUGUGAUGCUAAAGAAACUGGUUGACUUGAGUGUGGUAGAGGCAAGUGGAAUUCCAUGUGUAGCGGUAAAAUGCGUAAAUAUAUGGAGGAA